GCGUUCGUGGUGUAACAGUUAGCACACUCGGCCCGUAUUCGAGAGGUCCGUGGUUCGAAUCCCGGCGAGAGCU
rnacentral:tRNA from 1 species